CCUACGGGUGGCAGCAGUGGGGAAUAUUGGACAAUGGGGGGAACCCUGAUCCAGCCAUGCCGCGUGUGUGAAGAGGGCCCUCGGGUUGUAAAGCACUUUCAGUGAGGAAGAACGCCUGGUGGUUAAUACCCAUCAGGAAAGACAUCACUCACAGAAGAAGCACCGGCUAACUCCGUGCCAGCAGCCGCGGUAAUACGGAGGGUGCGAGCGUUAAUCGGAAUUACUGGGCGUAAAGCGCGCGUAGGUGGCUUGAUAAGCCGGUUGUGAAAGCCCCGGGCUCAACCUGGGAACGGCAUCCGGAACUGUCAAGCUAGAGUGCAGGAGAGGAAGGUAGAAUUCCCGGUGUAGCGGUGAAAUGCGUAGAGAUCGGGAGGAAUACCAGUGGCGAAGGCGGCCUUCUGGACUGACACUGACACUGAGGUGCGAAAGCGUGGGUAGCAAACAGGAUUAGAUACCCCGGUAGUC
rnacentral:rRNA from 1 species